AUGAGUAGCGUUAAAGGGGGUGAAAAGCCCCCUCGCCGUAAGCGCAAGGUUUUCUACGCAACGUUCAUCGGCGUAGAGUGAGUCGGCCCCUAAGGCGAGGCAGAGAUGCGUAGCUGAUGGGAAACAGGUCAAUAUUCCUGUACCGAUGUGUAGUGCGAUGUGGGGACGGAUCUUAAUAGGUCAUCCGGGUGUUGGAUAUCCCGGUUUAGUUGGAAGUAGGCGUGCGUUAGGCAAAUCCGGCGCACAUAUACCGAGGCCAAUGAUCGAGCCAGCUUGCUGGUGAAGUGACUGAACGAGGUUCCAGGAAAAGCCACUAAGCUUCAGCUACACACGACCGUACCGCAAACCGACACUGGUGCGCGAGAUGAGUAUUCUAAGGCGCUUGAGAGAACUCAGGAGAAGGAACUCGGCAAAUUGACACCGUAACUUCGGAAGAAGGUGUGCCCUAUUAGUGUGAAGUGAACAACGGAGCAUGAAUGGGUUGCAAAAAAAUCGGUGGCUGCGACUGUUUAUUAAAAACACAGCACUCUGCAAACACGAAAGUGGACGUAUAGGGUGUGACGCCUGCCCGGUGCUGGAAGAUUAAAUGAUGGGGUGCAAGCUCUUGAUUGAAGUCCCAGUAAACGGCGGCCGUAACUAUAACGGUCCUAAGGUAGCGAAAUUCCUUGUCGGGUAAGUUCCGACCUGCACGAAUGGCGUAACGAUGGCCACACUGUCUCCUCCUGAGACUCAGCGAAGUUGAAAUGUUUGUGAUGAUGCAAUCUCCCCGCGGAAAGACGGAAAGACCCCAUGAACCUUUACUGUAGCUUUGUAUUGGACUUUGUACAGAUCUGUGUAGGAUAGGUGGGAGGCUUUGAAGCAGGGUCGCUAGAUCUUGUGGAGCCAACGUUGAAAUACCACCCUGGUGUGUUUGAGGUUCUAACCUAGGUCCAUUAUCUGGAUCGGGGACAGUGCAUGGUAGCAGUUUGACUGGGGCGGUCUCCUCCCAAAGCGUAACGGAGGAGUUCGAAGGUACGCUAGUUACGGUCGGACAUCGUGACGAUAGUGCAAUGGCAUAAGCGUGCUUAACUGCGAGACUGACAAGUCGAGCAGAUGCGAAAGCAGGACAUAGUGAUCCGGUGGUUCUGUAUGGAAGGGCCAUCGCUCAACGGAUAAAAGGUACUCUGGGGAUAACAGGCUGAUACCGCCCAAGAGUUCAUAUCGACGGCGGUGUUUGGCACCUCGAUGUCGGCUCAUCUCAUCCUGGGGCUGUAGCCGGUCCCAAGGGUAUGGCUGUUCGCCAUUUAAAGAGGUACGUGAGCUGGGUUUAAAACGUCGUGAGACAGUUUGGUCCCUAUCUUCCGUGGGCGCUGCAGAUUUGAGCAAGCCUGCUCCUAGUACGAGAGGACCGGAGUGGACACACCUCUGGUGUAUCGGUUGUCACGCCAGUGGCAUUGCCGAGUAGCUAAGUGUGGAAGAGAUAACCGCUGAAAGCAUCUAAGCGGGAAACUCGUUUCAAGAUGAGAUCUGCCGGGGCCUUGAGCCCCCUAAAGAGUCGUUCAAGACCAGGACGUUGAUAGGUCAGGUGUGGAAGCGCAGUAAUGCGUUAAGCUAACUGAUACUAAUUGCUCGUGCGGCUUGACCCU
rnacentral:rRNA from 1 species